rnacentral:lncRNA from 1 species
UAUGUCUAAGUUUAAUUUGAUCUAUUUGCAUAUUGUGCAUAAACAUAUAGGGUUAGAAAAUGAUUAUUGUUGCUUAUACUUGCAUGCUAGUAGCUCAAUAUAUCUUGCUUGGUUGGUUCAUGAUUUAGUAUGCAUGAUGAUUGUUUGAUGAAAACCUAGACCCUAUAUGUGAUGAUUGAUGCUUAUGUUGCUAAAGGACUAGUAUGGUAUAACUGGUGUUGAAAAUGAGUCUAAAUGACGAGUGGCAUCUAGUUAGAAAACUAUGACGAGCGACAUAUGAUUGUUGAUGACCUUGAUAUUAGAACAUUAGUGUAGUUGAGACACUAUGAGAUUGGGUACAAGUAUACCUUACUUUCAUCAUGAUAUUACCCUCAAAGGGUUGUUGUUGUUCGUGAGAUGAUCUUGCUCACAUUGCCUGUCUGCGCUUGGUGGGGUCGCUCCUCUCAAGUUGUGCGCUCCGGAGUUUGGUCACUAGAGAGGCAGCCUGCUUGCUGCUCGGAUAGCCGCUUGUUAUCCGCAGGCGUUCUCGGGGAUCGUCCAGCUAGGCAUCCCUCGGAGGUUGAUAUGUGAGCCUUGCUUGUGGACCUUGUGUUCACUUGGAGAUUGGGUUACCCAUUGAGUCUUACCCAUGAUUGAUGUUCAUAGUAGCUAUUCAUUGUUCAUAUCAGCUUAUUUGCUUUCCUAGUAGCAUGUUUUAUAGCUUAUCAUGAUAGCUGUUGUAGAUGCUUAUAGUUUCUUACUUACCC